GCCGACGUCGCAUAAUCUGGUAGUGCGCCGGUCUCGAAAACCGGUCCCUAUUGGGGUUGCAGGUUCAAAUCCUGCCGUCGGCG
rnacentral:tRNA from 1 species